GACGGGGAGGAGACAGCUCUCAUUUCAUUUCACCCUAUCACUUCAUCACUAUCUGCAAGCUUUGGUGAAGGACUUGUAGAAUACCCCAAUAUUCUUGAGCACCACAAAAUAUACCUAAUGAUAGUGAUAUGCGACCACUAUCUUUAGCCAUGAAACAUUUAAAUGUAUGUAGUUGUUUUUUUUUAAGAGUUUUUAUUAUAAAGGUUACUUAUCCUUUAUUUAAUUGUACAGUCAAUCAGCAACGGGAAAUGAGGGAUGACAUUCCUCCAGAGAUUUUAAACUGGAUGUUGUGGUUACUUGCUGCAUCUUCUACCUUCUACCUUGGGCUUAGUGGUCUAUCAUUUUGUUUGCCACCUGUCAUCCUCUUUGACAGUGAUAAGCAUUAUUAAAUAAACACCUACUCUACACCUACUGUACCUGCCUAACACUGGGCUACAUGAUUGACAAAGAGAUCUAAAGUGUGAAAGGGGGGCCCAGCUACCACUCAACAAUAUAUAGGGUUUGCUGUGCUGGCUCCACAAUGGUGGAAGGAGCUCCCACAUCAGGACAGCAGAAACCCUACACAUCUUCCGUCGCACUCACCUGUUCAGACUGCAUCUUGGCCAAUUAAAAGAUAUAUAACAGUUUUUGCUUAUUUGAGGGAUUGUAUGUACUUGCAUGAUUCUUGCUAUUUUUGGGUGGUAUCUUCAUGAUUGAAUGCAAUUAUUGUCAGUCACUUUGAAUAAAAGCAUAAUUUACAUGAAUAAUGUAAAUGGAAUCCUAUAAUGUACUAUUAGGAAAUUGUUAAUGGCAUAGUGUACUAUGACUUAUGUACUAUGGCUUAAGUAUUGUGAUGAUACUGGGUUUUAGUUUCCUGUUUUAUUUUGAAGGUUAACUCCUUGUGUGUCAUGUCUGGCUUUACUUCCUGCCUUGUGGGUUUUUGUAAAGUCUGUUCCCUGUUUUAUUUUUAAGGUUAACUCCUCAUGUGCCUGCUCUGCCCUCAUUUAUUCCACCUGUGUUUAUUUAGCAUUGUGUAUUUGAUCCCCGGCCUCAUUGUAAGUUCGUCUUCCUUGAUGUUUGGAGAUUUUGUAAGCUAGAUGUUCCUGCCUGUUUUGUAGCCUUUUGAUUAUUAAAUUGUUUGACCACA